rnacentral:lncRNA from 1 species
AAACACCCUACACAGGCAAUAAAACUGAAGGCUAGCAGCACCCUGUGAGUAGCUGUCUAAUAUGCUGGGGCCAUGGUGAUGAGGCCGACCUUGAAAACCAGGUUGAGUAGUUCAAGGGGAGGUAGGAAACCAAGGGUAACAGUCUACUGGGAAGGAACACAGAAUCCUGAGUCUCCUCAAGAUUUGCAGAGGAGAGUGAGAGACAGAACCUCAGACAUCUGGGGCUCAGGGGAAGUUCAUUCCUGAAGGAGGACUUCCGACUAGGAAGCCUGGGACUGCAGUCUACCCCUACCUGUCCCCGCAGUGACCUAUGGGUAGGUUGGGAUGGGAUGUAUUGGAAUUGGGACUGGGGCUAUGCAGGUUACAGACCUGGCCUGACCUUUGGCACCCUCUAGAGAACAGUUUCAUUCCCAAAGUGGAGUGUUGGGCAAGCAAAUCCUAAACCCUCUCCCACGAAGGACUGUGGGCCUCAGACUACUGCCCAUUGUCCACCACUCCACUGGCAGGUGUCCUUACAGUCUGCAUGUCAGGACUUCAACACCAGCUCAAAUCCCCAACUGCCCAUCCUGUCCUUCCAGGCCUAGUCAGGCCCCACAGCUGGUCUAGGCUCCGUCCUGACCCACCUCAGUCACUGAGUUCCCAUAGCCCUAAGUGGAAGCCUCCCACGGCCCAACUUUGGUUUCAUUUGGAGGCCUUACCUUUCCCAAGGGAGGUGUUUUCCUCAGGACAGGGUCAGGUUUCUCCCUCCCCUCUUGAACAGGGAUUUCCCUGCAAAUAUGGCUUUUGUAUCCUCUGUACUCUCAGACUGGGGGCCCCUGGAAGCUGUCUCUCCUCCCUAAGGACUGACCCAGGAUCUCCUCCUCCAUCCCUCCACCUGGCUGUUGAUCUUCAAAAAAUUCUAACUCCAGUCCCAGUUCUGCAUAGCUCUUCCUGUAGCUGGGGCUCAGGUGGCCUUGUAGCCUUCCAUGGGUCUGGACACCUGAAGCAGUUACCUCAGGCCCUGGCCCCAGAGACAGGCCCAACCCUUGGCUUGGAGGACUGAGUCCCAGCAUGCCCACCAGGAAUUCCACUUCUUCCCUCGUGAGGGCUGUCUCAGAUCUCUGGUUUCAUGGUGCCACUGGCAAAAGGAGGGAUGCUAUUUUGAGCAGUGUGUCUGGACUUGGCUCAAGUGGCACAGGCCAAACCCCUGCCCUACUGACUUCUCUCCUGGAAGAGCAGAAGCAACAUUUAAGCCUCCCCUCCCCACUGGGGAGUGCUGAGAAGAGGCAGGCUCUAGGUUGGGGACACAGACAACAGAACCCCAGCUGGGAAUGUAGUUUGAGCCAGGGAUAGUCAUGGAGGAAUAAGAUCAAGACCUGCUUUAAUUGUGGAGCCCCCAGGGCAGAGCCUGAGGAAUACAAAGGCACUUCCUGCAGAGUGAGUGGGGCUCCAGGCAGGGUGGGGACAGGGUGGCCUCCUCAGGGCACACGCCAAGAAGAGUUAUGCCCUUGGGACCAUACAGGGAAGAGGUGGGACUGUUUGGGAGAAGAGCAUCAGGUGGAGUUAAAGGGUUGGCUUUCUGUUCUAGUUCAGUCCUGUGUUACUGUGGGACAUGGGCACAUCCCACCCUCUCUCUGGGCCUCUGUCUCCUUAUCUGUACGUUGCUGCUGAGAGGACCAGAGUGCCUGGAUGGAGAUUAGGAGAAUGUACUGAAAGGGCUCUCAGCAGAGAAUGGGGCUGUUGCCAGUUAGAGGAAAUCAUUAAUUGGCAAAGUGCAGCUCUGCUAGUGGCUCUCAGCCCAUGGUGUUACCGCCCAGCCCUGAAUAUUACAGCUCUAGAGCUCUAAGGCGCCCCUAGCAGCUCCUCAGCAGCCAAGGCACACUCUGGGCAGCUAUCUGGGGGUUUACAAGGCUGUUCCCUGUUGCUGUGCUGUGUUUCGGGACUGGUGCUGCUGAUUGCCGCAGGUUAACACCACCACUUACUGCCUCUGCCAGAUGCUGCUGGUCUCUGCUGCUGAUCUCAAACUGAUCUUUGCCAAUUUCUACCCAGGUCCCUGGAACUCUUCAAGACAAGCAGCCUUUAGUGUCUACAGCUCUUUUUAAAGCCACUCGCUCUGCCCAUACUACUUGCCGUAAGAAUCCAGAGUAGAUUUACAGAAUCUUUCAAGCUGCACUACCAGAAAAAUCUUAGAGCAGACUUUCAGAGCACUGGAGAGGGAUUUUAUUAGACAAGGCCUCUGCUGCAGCACGGGGGCGGAGCGGGGAGGGGUACGGCUGCCGCCAGGGUAAGAGAUGAAGCCUUCCUAUAUCAACUGAAGAAAUGUGAGGAAGGCAGUUUAUAUAGCAGCAGCAGGCCUGUGAUUGAUCCAAAUUCGAGCCUGCUGAUUGGUCCAAAUUCAAACCUACUGAUUCAAGCCUAGUGAUUGGUCCAAAUUCAGUUUUGCUGUCUGGUUCAAACACAAGCUGCUACAGUCAGGGCAGAUAUUUACAGUGGGUUUGAGGUGCCCAAGACAGUCACAGCUGUACUGGCGACAGUUGGGGGAACAUGGGAAGAAGCAACUGCUUGAAUGACAGCUGCUGAGUCUCCUCGAAAAUGGCGGAGCUAUAACCAGGGCUACCCCUGCUUUCCAGGAAUAUUCAAGAGCCCCAACGGUGUUAACCACAGCUUAUUGGGGUCUGGGGAUUUCGGGGUUGUUAACAAUGGGCCCAGAUCUCUCCCUGAUCUCUGCCUGUCAGGGACGGUUUCCCAGGUCCUUCUUCAGAGAGGGGACAGCAGCGCGUGGAUGGUGGGCACAGGAGAGGGACCCUGGCUGCCAGCAGAGCCACGGCUCCUGUCACUGUGGCCUGGAGAGUGGUUUCUUGGUAACCUUCGGUGGCAGGAGGACAGUAUUGCCCCAGCCCACCCUCAGGGGACCCAGGGAGAGUGAAGGGAAGCAAGGGGGGUGGUGGCAGCUGUCAGUUGAGCCUGCCCCUUCCUGCUGUCACAGUUAAAGGCAAGACUCAGGCUAUUUCUCCUGUCUCAGAGAUGGGAGGAGGGGAGAGAGCUGACGACCAGCCCCUCCUGGACCCAGGCAGAAGGGAGGCAGGUCAGAGAUGGGUCCGAUGCUGGUUUGCUGAUUGCUUCCUUCCCCUGGGGGACUGGAGCUGGGGCUGGGGCUGGAGAAUUUCUACGCUCAGGGUUGGGGAUGCACAUUUGUGCUGCAGUUAGAGGGAAGUGGAGUAGAGGAUGAGGACUCAUAGGAUGGGGAAAACUGAAGGGGAUAUUUUCAUGCUGUAGUUUGUGAGAAAAAUAGGAGUACAGUGGG